rnacentral:rRNA from 1 species
GACGAACGCUGGCGGCGUGCUUAACACAUGCAAGUCGAACGGAAAGGCCCCCAUCUUGGUGGGGGUGCUCGAGUGGCGCACGGGUGAGUAACACGUGGGUGAUCUGCCCUGUACUUCGGGAUAAGCUUGGGAAACUGGGUCUAAUACCGGAUAGGACCAUGGUUUAGUGUCUCAUGGUGGAAAGAUUAUUGUUUUGGUGCAGGAUGAGCUUGCGGCCUUUCGGCUUUGUGGUGGGGUAAUGGCCUACCAAGGCGUCGACGGGUAGCCGGCCUGGGAGGGUGGACGGCCACAUUGGGACGGAGAUACGGCCCAGACUCCUACGGGAGGCAGCAGUGGGGAAUAUUGCACAAUGGGCGCAAGCCUGAUGCAGCGACGCCGCGUGGGGGAUGACGGCCUUCGGGUUGUAAACUCCUUUCGUUAGGGACGAAGCCGCACUUUUUUUGGGUGUGGUGACGGUACCUUUGUUAAGAAGCACCGGCUAACUACGUG